UUUUUUUUAAAUCGUUUUACAGAAUAAAAAUUGAAAAUUGUGAAAGGCAGAACAUCAAAAAAGGAAUUAUUGAAGCGUAUUAAUAGAGAAAGAUAUAUUCUCUUGUUAGAGAAAAAUAACAAUCCCUCGACUUCUCACUCCUCACACAAGAUCAUUAUGGAAGCAAUUAAGUAAUGCACCUUGGGGAACCAAAUCCCUGCAGAAUCGAAGCAAAACGAAAACAUUGGAAGAUAAACGGGGAUCGAUAAAAAAUCGUCCAACCUCUAUUGAUUAAUUAUCUACCUCUCCAUUUCUUCCAUUAAUAUAAUCAAUGGAAUUGCGAAAGACGAUUACGUGCCAAGAAGAAAACAAAAAAUACCAAGAGAAAUAAAGAAGGAAUAAAAAAAAA